rnacentral:rRNA from 1 species
AGAGUUUGAUCCUGGCUCAGAACGAACGCUGGCGGCAUGCCUAACACAUGCAAGUCGAACGAGACCUUCGGGUCUAGUGGCGCACGGGUGCGUAACGCGUGGGAAUCUGCCCCUGGGUUCGGAAUAACAGUUAGAAAUGACUGCUAAUACCGGAUGAUGACGUAAGUCCAAAGAUUUAUCGCCCAGGGAUGAGCCCGCGUAGGAUUAGCUAGUUGGUGGGGUAAAGGCCUACCAAGGCGACGAUCCUUAGCUGGUCUGAGAGGAUGAUCAGCCACACUGGGACUGAGACACGGCCCAGACUCCUACGGGAGGCAGCAGUGGGGAAUAUUGGACAAUGGGCGAAAGCCUGAUCCAGCAAUGCCGCGUGAGUGAAGAAGGCCUUCGGGUUGUAAAGCUCUUUUACCCGGGAAGAUAAUGACUGUACCGGGAGAAUAAGC